AUUGGACCCAUCAUUCUCCUGCUUAAGCCACCUAAAAAUAUGUUCUGGCUUAAUGUUGCAGGUUACCAUGCCAAAUAUGUUUGUUGUUUUUCUGGAUUAUAGCUGCAGUUCUUUGCAUAUAGCUGGGGAAGUGCCUUCUUGGUGAAACUGUACCACACCCUUAUAUAUCAACGGAGAGGUCUCUUGUAAUCGGUUUUUAACUGUUGUCGUUUAGUUCCCUCGAACAAUUGACAUAACCUUUGUUGUUCUAAUAGCUUGUGUCUUAAAGCAGGGUUGUUAGCUUUCUGCACGACAGUUAUAUUAAGAGUCUAGUAACUGAGGUUUCAGCAUUUCGAAG
rnacentral:misc_RNA from 1 species